UAAGUUAUUGUUUUGUUUCUUCCACUCUUCUACUAACCAAAAUCAAAAUUUUUUGACAAAGAUUUACGUUCAACAUAAGUUCUGGCUGUAAAAAAAACCAUUAUUAUCAAUUAAUUAAUAAAGUUGAUGGUGACGUGAAAUAUUAUUAAAAUGAGAAUCAUUAGAUACAGUUUUGAAAUAUAUUAAAAUGAAGAACAGAUCAACACGUCAUAAAUGGAAAGAUACAUUUCAGCUUGCUGAAAUGAGGAAAACGACGAGGAAGUGGAAAUGUAUUUUCAUGAAACGACACAAAAAUGGAAUCUCCUGAAAUUAACAUAUGAUUAUUGUAGUUCUAAAAUAUAAAUGAGAAAAAUUAUUAUACUUUCGUAAUUGCUCUAUAAGGAACAACAUAUCAUCGAACGUUCCUAAAAUAUAUAUAGUUAAAAAUUAAAUGAGACAACAAAUUAUCCAGGAAAACUCGGAAUUAUCUACAAAUGAAAAGAAGCUUAUCUCUAAAAACAAUGAAAAAGAAAACGAAGAUGGUAAUGACGAUAAUGAAAACGUGAUGAUGAAAAUAAUACUUUAGUUGACCAAGACAAAGAAGAAAGAAUGGAAUGUCAUGAAAUUAAAUAAUGAAAAUAUUGUAUAUAUUUAGAAGAUAAAGAUACAACGACAAAUGCACAUUUGUUUGACCUACGAAGACAUAUUGAAUUUUCAUAAUAUAGACCAAACUAUAAUUCGAUAGAUAUGCAACAUUAGAGAACUAUGGUUAUGCUAAUCUGAUUGAUACUUUCAAGAUUUUAGCUUGGAUUGUAAUCGAGCGAUUACAAAUAGAUUUUCAUUCAUAAAAUUCAUAAAAUUACUAAAUAUAUUUGUCAAAAAUUUAAUUUUCAUCGUAUAGAUCUCGAAAUAAGUUAAAAGUCAUAUUGUUUACUCAGAUAACGAUUAUUAAUUAUAUAAAAAGAGUAAUACUUUAUCUCUUACUUGACUAAUGAAAUGAUUAAGAAAAACUAUAGCUAUAUAAAUAAUUAAGGCACUUAAUUUGUUAUCAAUGGUAUUAUUCCAUUUAAUAUUAAUUAGAAUCUCUAUUCUAAGUAUACAAAUUUAUUAUGUUCAGAGAAAUACAAUAUUUAAAUGAGCCACUGAUAUAAUGGGUGCUAUAUAAAUGGGAAAAUUAACUGAAAUACUUUUUAAUGUAAAGUCUCUUUUGAUACAGGAAACGUCCAAGAUUAUAGAAUCAUCUACUUUUGGAUAAAUUGACAAAGGAGAUAACUUCUGUGACAAAGAAAUAUAUGCGUAAGGAAGAAAAUACGAAAUUCUAUAGCGAAAGACAACAAAACUGCAACAAGAGAUAUAUAAGUUCCAUGUAAAGUAUCGUAAUUAGUUCUACUACAAAUUUGUGGGAAAAUUGAAAUUAGCAGUAAAAGAAGAAAUCUAAAAUUAUGCAACAAAGGAAGAAAGUAAACAAGAAGAAAAACGUGAGUAUUGAAAUGUCUAUAAGAAAGAGAAUGUCAAAAGAAAGAUCGACUUUGAAAUUCUCUAAUUAUGCGUUUUAUGUAUAUAUCCAUGUAAAGAAAGUAUACUUUCUUAAGUAAGAUUUGCCAUGCUUCUCAUGUCUCGUUCUUCGAUUGACUUUUGUUAUUUACAAGUCGAGCUGUUAUGAUUUUGAAGAAAAACAGGCAUUAGAAAGUAGGACCUAUGUACGAGAGAUUACAGAGAAAUUUUAUAAAGAUAAUAUAUUAAAUAAAAUUUACGUAGUGUAAAUAAUAAAUGUAAAUUGUCGUUUCUUUGAUCACAGAUAAGACUGUAAAUAGCAAAUAAUUGUUAAUUAACAAAUAAAGAUUUAUUCCUUUGUUCACAGA